rnacentral:rRNA from 1 species
AUUGAACGCUGGCGGCAGGCCUAACACAUGCAAGUCGAGCGGUAGCACAGAGAGCUUGCUCUCGGGUGACGAGUGGCGGACGGGUGAGUAACGUCUGGGAAACUGCCCGAUGGAGGGGGAUAACUACUGGAAACGGUAGCUAAUACCGCAUAACGUCGCAAGACCAAAGUGGGGGACCUUCGGGCCUCACACCAUCGGAUGUGCCCAGAUGGGAUUAGCUAGUAGGUGGGGUAAUGGCUCACCUAGGCGACGAUCCCUAGCUGGUCUGAGAGGAUGACCAGCCACACUGGAACUGAGACACGGUCCAGACUCCUACGGGAGGCAGCAGUGGGGAAUAUUGCACAAUGGGCGCAAGCCUGAUGCAGCCAUGCCGCGUGUAUGGAGAAGGCCUUCGGGUUGUAAAGUACUUUCAGCGGGGAGGAAGGCGGUGAAGUUAAUAGCUUCACCGAUUGACGUUACCCGCAGAAGAAGCACCGGCUAACUCCGUGCCAGCCGCCGCCGUAA